AGCCCCGGGGUGUUUUACAUGUCAGAUUGCAAAUCUGAAGUCGCAGACUAACGUCUGCCGGGGCUU
rnacentral:tRNA from 1 species